UGGGGAAUAUUGGACAAUGGGCGCAAGCCUGAUCUAGCCAUGCCGCGUGAGUGAUGAAGGCCUUAGGGUCGUAAAGCUCUUUCGCCAGAGAUGAUAAUGACAGUAUCUGGUAAAGAAACCCCGGCUAACUCC
rnacentral:rRNA from 1 species